rnacentral:rRNA from 1 species
UCGGGAAUUUUGGGCAAUGGGCGAAAGCCUGACCCAGCAACGCCGCGUGAAGGAUGAAGUAUUUCGGUAUGUAAACUUCGAAAGAAUAGGAAGAAUAAAUGACGGUACUAUUUAUAAGGUCCGGCUAACUACGUGCCAGCAGCCGCGGUAAUACGUAGGGACCAAGCGUUGUUCGGAUUUACUGGGCGUAAAGGGCGCGUAGGCGGCAUGACAAGUCACUUGUGAAAUCUCCGGGCUUAACUCGGAACGGCCAAGUGAUACUGUCACGCUAGAGUAUUGGAGGGGCAAUCGGAAUUCUUGGUGUAGCGGUGAAAUGCGUAGAUAUCAAGAGGAACACCUGAGGUGAAGACGGGUUGCUGGCCAAAUACUGACGCUGAGGCGCGAAAGCCAGGGGAGCAAACGGGAUUAGAUACCCCAGUAGUCCCUGAGCGGGCUGGCAAGGCGCAU